AGCGAACGCUGGCGGCAGGCUUAACACAUGCAAGUCGAGCGGGCGUAGCAAUACGUCAGCGGCAGACGGGUGAGUAACGCGUGGGAACAUACCUUUUGGUUCGGAACAACACAGGGAAACUUGUGCUAAUACCGGAUAAGCCCUUACGGGGAAAGAUUUAUCGCCGAAAGAUUGGCCCGCGUCUGAUUAGCUAGUUGGUGAGGUAAUGGCUCACCAAGGCGACGAUCAGUAGCUGGUCUGAGAGGAUGAUCAGCCACAUUGGGACUGAGACACGGCCCAAACUCCUACGGGAGGCAGCAGUGGGGAAUAUUGGACAAUGGGCGCAAGCCUGAUCCAGCCAUGCCGCGUGAGUGAUGAAGGCCCUAGGGUGUAAAGCUCUUUUGUGCGGGAAGAUAAUGACGGUACCGC
rnacentral:rRNA from 1 species